rnacentral:misc_RNA from 1 species
GAUGAAGAACGUAGCGAAAUGCGAUAAGUAAUGUGAAUUGCAGAAUUCAGUGAAUCAUCGAAUCUUUGAACGCACAUUGCGCCCGCCAGCAUUCUGGCGGGCAUGCCUGUUCGAGCGUCAUUUCAACCCUCGAGCCCCCCCGGGGGCCUCGGUGUUGGGGGACGGCACACCAGCCGCCCCCGAAAUGCAGUGGCGACCCCGCCGCAGCCUCCCCUGCGUAGUAGCACACACCUCGCACCGGAGCGCGGAGGCGGUCACGCCGUAAAACGCCCAACUUUCUUAGAGUUGACCUCGGAUCAGGUAGGAAUACCCGCUGAACUUAAGCAUAUCAAUAAGCGGAGGGA